CCAGGAAUACUUGCAGGACUAUGCGAUGGAGAUGCUAACCUUUGUAAUUGUUGAUAUUCUUGUUGAAGUGCCUGAAUUCCAGGUCCAGGUGGACCUGAACCUUCAGAUGCUCUCCGAACAGAACCACACAAAAAUUACCAGUGCUAGUAUGAUACAAUGAAGUCUUCCUAUGGUGUGGAAGUGUAGAUCCUCUAAGAUGUGUCGGUAAUAGUCGUGAUGGGAGGUAAGCUCUAUUCAUCCUAGCUUCCACUUCCAUUACCAUUUCCGGGUUUAUAACUACAUGCAUAUUACCAACCAACGAGGCAUGGUAGUGCAGUGGAUACAAAAAAACCAUGCAAAA